CCUACGAGAGACAGCAGUGAGGAAUAUUGGUCAAUGGACGAGAGUCUGAACCAGCCAAGUAGCGUGAAGGAUGACUGCCCUAUGGGUUGUAAACUUCUUUUAUAUGGGAAUAAAAUGUUCCACGUGUGGGAUAUUGUAUGUACCAUAUGAAUAAGGAUCGGCUAACUCCGUGCCAGCAGCCGCGGUACUACGGAGGAUCCGAGCGUUAUCCGGAUUUGUUGGGUUUAAAGGGAGCGUAGGUGGAUUGUUAAGUCAGUUGUGAAAGUUUGCGGCUCAACCGUAAAAUUGCAGUUGAAACUGGCAGUGUUGAGUAUAGUAGAGGUGGGCGGAAUUCGUGGUGUAGCGGUGAAAUGCUUAGAUAUCACGAAGAACUCCGAUUGCGAAGGCAGUUCACUGGACUGCAACUGACACUGAGGCUCGAAAGUGUGGGUAUCAAACAGGAUUAGAUACCCGUGUAGUC
rnacentral:rRNA from 1 species